GGGUUUUUGUAGGGGAACACUGGGGGUUUUGUAGGGAAGGACAGGGUUCAGGGGUUUUGUAGGGAAGGACAGGGUUCAGGGGUUUUGUAGGGAAGGACAGGGGUCAGGGGUUUUGUAGGGAAGGACAGGGUUCAGGGGUUUUGUAGGGAAGGACAGGGCUCAGGGGUUUUGUAGGGAAGCUCAGGAGUCAAUGGUUUCCUAGAGAAGGACAAGGGUCAGUGGUUUUGUAGGGUAGCUCAGGGAUCAGUGAUUUUGGAGGGAAGCUCAGGGGUAGUGAUUUUUGCAGACAAGCACAGAAUUUGACAAGUAAAGUAAAAAAAAACCCCCAAAGAAAUAGGAACAGAGCCCAAACCCAGCUGUGCCUGAGUGAGCAGAGCUGACAUGGCCAUAGAUACCUGCACAGCCACCUCUGGGGGUGACAGGGACACAGAUACCUGCACAGGUGUGACAGGGACAUAGAUACCUGCACAACCACCUCUCUGGGGUGUGACAGGGACAUAGAUACCUGCACAGGUGUGACAGGGCCAUACCUGCACAGCCACCUCUCUGGGAUGUGACAGGGCCAUAGAUACCUGCACAGGUGUGACAGGACAUACCUGCACAGCUUCCUCUCUGGGAUGUGACAGGGACAUAGAUACCUGCACAGCUGUGACAGGACCAUAGAUACCUGCACAGGUGUGACAGGGACAUAGAUACCUGCACAGCUGUGACAGGGACAUAGAUACCUGCACAGCUGUGACAGGGACAUAGAUACCUGCACAGCUGUGACAGGGACAUA